AAACUUAUAGCUAAGAGAAGUAUGUUAUUUACACUAACAAGAUAUUUAAAAAAUUAAGUUUA
rnacentral:tRNA from 1 species